GGUAGAUUAUACAGGCUGCCAGAGACAGCAGGAGGCUUUGCCGUAAGGGGGUUCCCGUCCUGCCGAGGUUUGCGGAAUUUGUGUAUACAUGUUCUGUGUCCUCAUGUCUUGUGGCAUGAGGCAUUUAUUUUUUCGGA
rfam:Firmicutes bacterium CAG:137 genomic scaffold, scf192